CUUCCAUGAUCUGCGGGCAGAUCAGGUGGACGUGACAGUCGAUGGCCCCGGCGGUGACGAUGCGCCCGUUGCCGGCGAUGAUCUCCGUCGACGGGCCGACCACCAGGUCGGGGUGCACGCCCGACAUGAUGUCGGGGUUGCCCGCCUUUCCGAUGCCGACGAUGCGCCCGUCGCGAAUGCCGAUGUCGGCCUUGAUGAUUCCCCAGUAGUCGAUGAUCACCGCGCCGGUGAUCACGGUGUCGGGUGCGCCGUCGGCACGGGUGGCCCGCCCUUGGCCCAUCGACUCGCGCAG
rfam:Mycobacterium rhodesiae JS60 ctg123, whole genome shotgun sequence.